rnacentral:SRP_RNA from 1 species
GAAGUGGUUCCUUGCGAGGGCGAAAUGUGAAACGGGUCAGGCCUUAAUCGGAGCAGCCCUAAGCACGUAGUCUUGUGUGAGGAACCGCUUGUGG